UGAGUAACACGUAUCCAACCUGCCGUCUACUCUUGGCCAGCCUUCUGAAAGGAAGAUUAAUCCAGAAUGGCAUCAUGAGUUCACAUGUCCGCAUGAUUAAAGGUAUUUUCCGGUAGACGAUGGGGAUGCGUUCCAUUAGAUAGUAGGCGGGGUAACGGCCCACCUAGUCAACGAUGGAUAGGGGUUCUGAGAGGAAGGUCCCCCACAUUGGAACUGAGACACGGUCCAA
rnacentral:rRNA from 1 species